AGAAUGAUUAAUAAUUUGCUAAUGAGUCACAGCAGUGAUGGGGAUGUGGAGAUUUAAAUCAAUGCAUUUUGAGUUGCCUGAGCAAAGAAUUCCAAAAUUUAGGAAGUCACUAUUUCUGUAUUUCCUUCUAAGGAAAACCAUCUAAAGUAUAUUUUUAUCUCCAGUAGGCGUGGUCAUUGUCAAGAGAAGGAAAGGUACUCUCAUUUAACCGUU
rnacentral:lncRNA from 10 species